GCCCAGAUAGCUCAGUUGGUAGAGCAUCAGAUUUAUAAUCUGAGGGUCAUGGGUUCGAGCCCGAUGUUGGGCA